rnacentral:tRNA from 1 species
UUGCGAGGUGGAGCAGUCCGGUAGCUCGUCGGGCUCAUAACCCGAAGGUCGUUGGUUCGAAUCCAACCCUCGCGAU